rnacentral:tRNA from 1 species
UCCCUGGUGGCUCAGACGGUAAAGUGUCUGUCUACAAUGCAGGAGACCCAGGUUCGAUCCCUGGUUUGGGAA